UUGAACGCUGGCGGUAUGCUUUACACAUGCAAGUCGAACGGCAGCACGGGGGCAACCCUGGUGGCGAGUGGCGAACGGGUGAGUAACAUAUCGGAACAUAUCCGGAAGUGGGGGAUAGCUCGGCGAAAGCCGGAUUAAUACCGCAUAUGCCCUGAGGGGGAAAGGGGGGGAUCGCAAGACCUCUCGCUUUCGGAGUGGCCGAUAUCAGAUUAGCUAGUUGGUGGGGUAAAGGCUCACCAAGGCGACGAUCUGUAGCUGGUCUGAGAGGACGACCAGCCACACUGGAACUGAGACACGGUCCAGACUCCUACGGGAGGCGGCAGUGGGGAAUUUUGGACAAUGGGGGAAACCCUGAUCCAGCCAUUCCGCGUGAGUGAAGAAGGCCUUCGGGUUGUAAAGCUCUUUCGGCAGGAACGAAACGGUAAGGGCUAAUAUCCUUUGCUAAUGACGGUACCUGAAGAAGAAGCACCGGCUAACUACGU
rnacentral:rRNA from 1 species